GAGAUUUUUGGGCAAGUGUGUCAAAAUUUCUUUUCCGGCUAAACGGUUGAACCGUUUGGAACCAAAUUUGCUACACAUAUUCUUUGACAUAAAAGGGCAGACUCGCGCAGGGGGAGGGGGGUAGUACCUGCUCUAGGCAUAGCGAAUUUCUCGAAAUAAUUUUUUGUUAUUAUUUAUUCUAGUUCAAAUUGAUUAGGUAUGCAUAGCUAGGAAAGAGGACAACGUCCGUCGGGUCAGCUAGUUUACUUAUAAAACGUCAGAUUCUUUUAGCUCAAGAAAUGGAUGGAACAAUAAUCCUUCUUGCUAUCAAUUCAAGCACUCGUAUAAAAAACUGCUAAUUCCUGCUCAAGUACAAGGGAAUUGGAGGAAACUGUGAUGUGUUGGACAUGGCCACAAUACUCCACAUUAACAAAAACAAAAGUCAGGAUGAUCCUAAUGUAUGUGUUGAUGUGUCUGUAAUGCGGAAGUAUGGUUUGGAAUGAUUAUAAUUUGUCUUACUCUCCCAAUCUAAAUGAUUUCGUCGAAAAUGUGGUCACUUACAUCGCUGGUUAUGUCGUAAAAAUGGUGAAAACAAGACUUGAAUUCAUUGUGAAAUGUGUUUCGAAGCGUGUCAAGAUGUUCAUAUGAGUACUGAUGUUCUUUAAGAGAAGAAAUAAAGGAGGUUUGCUGCGUCCUUAAAAAGGAGUCAUAAUAUUGUGCCAAAAAACGGAGACUUAUGUUCGUAAAAUGAUGAACGUCACAGGAAAUAAGCUACCUACAAAAUGCGACAAUGUUCAGUCCACAGUAGGGAACUUAAUUGCACAACAAUAUUACGAUAACAUAGGUAAUUUAUUUCCAAGUUUGGAAUCUCACAUUACUCAAGCAGAGAUGGAGAGUAAUCAUGUAUUUCACUUGCUCAAAACAAUUUAUUGUUGAUUAAAACAAUGACGCUAAGAGAAAAGUUUAAUAAAAAUUACACAACUGAAAAAUAUAUCUACUUGUACAUAACACGAAAGCUGGCAUGGAAGUGAAGUACAUUAACAGGAAGUUGCAGUGCCAACUUAAAAUAAGCAUAACAAAGGUUACCAACACAAGAAUAUUUUGUAUUUUCAACACAAUUGUAUAUUGUUACUUAAGAAUUCGUUUAUUCAAUUUAGCAAAAACGUAUACUGAAGAAAUAACUGGCGAAAAAAUUAGGCAUAAAUUGACAAAACUUGUCUUAUUUAAUAACCAAUAAAUAUUCAUGUGUAUAAUAUUACUGCCCAAUUUAUGAUGUUAAUAAGUUAUACCUUUCAUUGUAAUAAUGGACAAUGUGAAUGUUUGGUGAUAUAAAGGUUUACAUCAAUAAGAAAAUUUAAUCUUUCUACGUGUUUAACCAUCAACGUCCUGACGGUUUCGCAUAGAAAAGAAAAACAAGAUUUGAAGUGUGUUCUAAUAAUGAAUUAUUGUACCGUAUAAUAAAACACAAUUUCAUUCUUC